UCUAAUAGUUACCAAGAUGAGUGAAGGUCGUGCAUUUAUUUUUACUACAUAUACAGCUAACUUGCAUAUUUUACACAAAAUGUUGAAGCUAUAUUAAUUUCUCAAAAGGAAUGGACAAUAUGUAAUUAUCACUUCAAUUCUGUAUGAACAAAACUGUGUUAGAAUAAAUCUAUCAUAAUAUUAACCUAAGAACAUAAUGCAAGUAUAUUAGAGGCUAGUUAAUAUUCUAUUUGUAUGUCUAAUUUGUGAGCGUGAGUACAUCAAAAAUAUGAUGUGUGUGCAAAUUACCGAGUCACAAUUUGGGAUUCACAGUACAAUCCUGUGGCUUAGCAGAUACGUUGAAGUUUGCAAAGACUGAGACCAGCAAGUCUUUUUCUACACAUCUGAAGUAGACCUAGGCAAUUAUACACCUGUCUUCAAGGUUCAGCAAGGAUAUUCCUACUUCAUGAACAACUGUUCUUCACAAGAAAGGAAGAAAAACAACACUGCCUACUUCAGAGAGGGACAACCCUUCACGAACAUUCAGGAAAAACAAGAUGGCUACAAUGUGACAGUCUGUUUGAUCCUCUCUCACACACAGGAUAAGAGCAUCCCCUUAAUGGAUUCUCCUUCUCAGGUUCUAGGCGCUCCUAGAGUAAAUUACUUUUCAUAGUAAAUUACUCUUCAGAAUUCUCUGUGUUUUGCAUUGUUACAGACUGUUUCAAUUUUGGAUUUAACAAUUCUCUUCCUCCACCACGUUUCUUGUUUGUAGGGACUAAGAUUCCGAGGCUCUUUGGAUACCUGAUAAGAGUGUUAAUAAGAUACAAAGAAACAAAAUUCUUUUUGUCUAACAGAACAAGUACAAACAACUACACUUCCAAAGUAUUUAAAAAUAUAUGUAUAUAUUUUCAGAGGUAUGAAGUUUUCUUAGAUAAAGCCUUCUCGUUUUCUUCAUAUUAAUUUCUGAAACAGUGGCUAAACUAUCUCAAAAGGCUUCCCAAGAAUGUUAUCUUUUCCUCUCACCUGGAGUAUUCAUUCCCAAUUAAAACCUCCCUUGGAGUUGUUGGUCAGGGGAGUCUGACAAUUCCCCGAACACUAUAUAUAGUCUAUUGUACGGACCUUUCGUUGCCUAGCUGAGGUUGAAGGCAAGUGCAUUUUGCUGAAGACAUCACAUCCUUUGGACAGUCAGCAAUCCUACUCAGCUGUGAUGCCUAAGAAGCACAAUGAUGACCUGAAUGCAGGAGACAAUUAUAGAAAGGCAUAACUAAUCGAAAUUCAGAGAACACCAAACUGUGAAAUGUGCAGCUCCAGCAGAAGCAUGUCAGCACCGAAGUCUCAGGAACUGUGGAAGAGAGAGCCAGAGGCGUAGGGAGCCUGCUGUGAGGUGACAUGGGGGCUACACUGAUGAAAUCACAGCAACACAGCUGCCCAAACAAGAUCGGAAUGAUGCUCACAUAGAUUGACAAUGAAAGAUCAUAUCAACUCGUUUCCUGAAGCUUAAAGAAGCACUUCCAUCCAUCAUCAUUGGGAAGUCCUCAGGAACUCGCCAAUUCUCUCUCCCCACCUGCAUCACCCCAGGCAGAAGGGCUGAAGCGGUGCACUCUAACAUCACAUGGUAACACAGCUUCAUCUGUCAACUCUUGGCUUCAGCAUCCUGGGGAAUUCUGAUGUGGGGAAACAUUUCAAAGCAAUUGUCUUACCCUUUGGAUAAAACCCAGUGCUAGCUGUUUUCAAGAUAAGAAAAUAAAGUUUCCCAUUGGGUCUGUUA